rnacentral:rRNA from 1 species
UAAUUUAAGGUCUAGCCUGCCCACUGAAAUUUUAAAUGGCCGUGGUAUUUUGACCGUGCUAAGGUAGCAUAAUCAUUAGUUUUUUAAUUAAAAACUGGAAUGAAAGGUUGGAUGAGAAAAUAGCUGUCUCUGUUAAAUUUAAUUAGAAUUUUAUUUUUAAGUUAAAAAGCUUAAAUAUUAUUAAAAGACGAGAAGACCCUAUAGAGUUUAAUUAUUUAAUAAAAAUUAUAUUUUAGUAUUAAUUUAUUUAUUUUAUUAAAAAAUUUAAUUGGGGUGAUUGAAAAAUUUAAUUAACUUUUUUUUAUUUAAUAACAUUAAUUUAUGAAUAAAUGAUCCAAUAUUUUUGAUUAUAAGAUAAAAUUACCUUAGGGAUAACAGAGUAAUUUUUUUAGAAAGUUCAUAUUAAAAAAAAAGAUUGCGACCUCGAUGUUGGAUUAAAAUAAAUUUUUGGUGUAGAAGCUAAAAUAUUAGGUAUGCCCGACCUUUAAAAUUUUA